rnacentral:rRNA from 1 species
UACGUAGGGUGCGAGCGUUGUCCGGAAUUACUGGGCGUAAAGAGCUCGUAGGCGGUUUGUCGCGUCUGCUGUGAAAACUCGGGGCUUAACUCCGGGCCUGCAGUGGGUACGGGCAGACUAGAGUGCGGUAGGGGAGACUGGAAUUCCUGGUGUAGCGGUGAAAUGCGUAGAGAUCGGGAGGAACACCAGUGGCGAAGGCGGCUACCUGGACCAGCAUUGACACUCAAGCACGAAAGCGUGGGGAGCAAACAGG